GGGGAAUUUUGGACAAUGGGGGCAACCCUGAUCCAGCCAUCCCGCGUGUGCGAUGAAGGCCUUCGGGUUGUAAAGCACUUUUGGCAGGGAAGAAACAGCCUGGGCUAAUAUCCCGGGCGACUGACGGUACCUGCAGAAUAAGCACCGGCUAACUACGUGCCAGCAGCCGCGGUAAUACGUAGGGUGCAAGCGUUAAUCGGAAUUACUGGGCGUAAGGCGUGCGCAGGCGGUUCGGAAAGAAAGGUGUGAAAUCCCAGGGCUUAACCUUGGAACUGCACUUUUAACUACCGGGCUAGAGUACGUCAGAGGGGGGUAGAAUUCCACGUGUAGCAGUGAAAUGCGUAGAGAUGUGGAGGAAUACCGAUGGCGAAGGCAGCCCCCUGGGAUGAUACUGACGCUCAUGCACGAAAGCGUGGGGAGCAAACA
rnacentral:rRNA from 1 species